GUCAAAGCUAUGAAGAACUGAUAUGUACUCUUGGCCAAUGGCAGAUAGUCAAUGAUUCUUGCAACAAAAAGAAAAUGUGUGAGAUGAAGCUGUCUGGUUUUCACAUUUGCUUGGUUUUCUUGAGAUUGAGAGAAUGGCUGGAUAUGACCAGCUGUAGAAGAGGAGGAUUUUCAAUAACAGCCUUCACUCGUCUUGCUUGCCUGUCCGAGUUUUGCGUUUCAGGGUUGGAUUUUUUCACUGGGGUAAAGAAAUUUAUCAAAAAUGGCUAUAAUGCAUUGAGGUCUACAAGAUAGAGAAUAGCAGAAUGUCAUCAACUGGAGAAGAGAAGAGGAUUUGCAGUAAUGCUUUUCAUUUCUGUUAUCUGUAUUGAAAGGAAGCAGGAGAAUUCAACAAUAAAUCUUCAUGGAUUGGAACUCCGAGUGCAACUUGUAAUUGUAUUGCAGAGCAUGGUCUUGGUCAACCCUCAAAAUCAAUCUUGUUAUCUACAAGAAUAUCCUGUGAUACAACCUGCACAAUGGAUAAAAUCCAUUUUUAUUUUCUCUUCUAGGAGAAUUCGGACACAACUCUAAUGUAUUCUGAACAGUUUCUGCAUCAACAAAAAACAUUCAUCAGCUCCGUCAUUAUUUGGUUCCAUCAAACAAGAUGCCCUUGUCCGCAGUCUAUGGAAUAUGCACAUUCAUCUUCAAGGUUAACCAUGGAUAUGUCUCCAACAGCAGAAUUACAACCCUAACUUUCCCUUGACGACAAGCUUUCAUUCAUGCAAUGGAAUUUGGAGCUUCUUGUGUUCAAAUCAUGUCAGGAUGCAACUCAACUAUAUCCUUCACCAUUUGAAGUGAUAUUGUAAGUAAUAGUGUAUUUCAGUGGUAAUUAGUUAAUUUUGUUAGCAAUUAUGUAGCUAAGGGAGCUUCUCAA